UAGAGGUGUACCGUGUGUUCACAGGUCACGUUCACAUGUUAUUGUUGUAACUUAGCGAGCAGUAGGUCUAGAUCUAGAGUGGCAUAAGAACCAGUACUAAACGUGCAGAUCUACAACGACUUACCUGUGUCUAAAUAUAUUUGAGGAUGUGCUGAUUAUUAAUCAACGCCUGCAACUUCCUGGCCGAGUCGAUUGGCCGGGCAUGCGGGUGUGAUAGUGAUGAGGAGGAGCAAGUUCCGGUCAAGGAGCGGAAGUGUGUGCUAGCAGUGUCGCCAACUAAUGAUGACUUUGUUAAGCAGCCACUUCCCUCCGACCAGGAGAUAGAGCACAGGACAGGGGGACAAUACCAGGGAUGAGCGUAGUGAUGACGCCGUCUGUCACGUAACGCCUAGCGUCAUGUCAAUGUGACAUUGUUACGGGUGUAAUUUUAUUUUCGUCAUAAAUCCUUUCACUUGAGUUACAUCAUAUGUUAUGUUUAAUCUCAAUUUCGAUAUGAAAUAAAGACAGUAAUUUCUGCAUCAGUCACUCUCGAUCCAAAAAAGUGAUAUUUAUAUCAGAAACGAACAUCAUCGGAUUACCCUACCAUUUGUAAAUGGAAAAUAUCGCCUUUUUUCAAUAUUGAAUAAAAAAAAUAUUUGGGAAAAUUCAGAAUUAUAGAUAAACAUGGAAAAAGAAAAUAUGCAGAUGUCUAACAUUUUACAAAAUAGUAUAAAAUUAAUAUACGUAAUAUUUGAUAAUUAACAAAAGACCUAUCAAUUACCACUCAUGAAAACUUAUCACAAUCUAUUAGGCGUAUUCCUGCUA